rnacentral:rRNA from 1 species
CGGCCGCGUCGACGUUAGGCAAAUCCGGCAUGCAUUAAGGCUGAGUGGUGAUGGGGAGCCGAAAAUAGUAGGCGAAGCAUAUGGACUCACACUGCCAAGAAAAGCUUCUAGCAAGUAAUCAUACUACCCGUACCGUAAACCGACACAGGUAGUUGGGAAGAGAAUUCUAAGGUGAGCGAGCGAACUCUCGUUAAGGAACUCGGCAAAAUGACCCCGUAACUUCGGGAGAAGGGGUGCUUAUAGCAAUAUAAGCCGCAGUGAAUAGGCCCAAGCGACUGUUUACCAAAAACACAGGUCUCUGCCAAACCGAAAGGUGAAGUAUAGGGGCUGACGCCUGCCCGGUGCUGGAAGGUUAAGAGGAGUGCUUAGCGCAAGCGAAGGUACGAAUUGAAGCCCCAGUAAACGGCGGCCGUAACAAUAACGGUCCUAAGGUAGCGAAAUUCCUUGUCAGGUAAGUUCUGACCCGCACGAAAGGCGUAACGAUUUGGGCACUGUCUCAACGAGAGGCUCGGUGAAAUCAUAGUACCUGUGAGGAUGCAGGUUACCCG